UACGUAGGAUGCAAGCGUUGUCCGGAAUUAUUGGGCGUAAAGAGCGCGCAGGCGGUUUGAGAAGUCAGAUGUGAAAGAGGCCGGCUUAACCGGCAAGGGUCAUUUGAAACUGACAGACUAGAGUACAGCAGAGGAUAGCGGAAUUCCCGGUGUAGUGGUGAAAUGCGUAGAUAUCGGGAGGAACACCAGUGGCGAAGGCGGGCUAUCUGGGGCUGAAAACUGACGCUGAGGCGCGAAAAGCGUGGGGGAGCGAACAGGG
rnacentral:rRNA from 1 species